AUUUUGCACUUGUUUUUCCUUAAUGAUACAUGAUGUUGAGUAGCUUUUGAUGCAUUCAUUGACCAUUUGGAAACUAGAAAUAAAUUAUAUUUAUUGACCUUUCUGCAAAUUAGGAAAAAGCCUCCAUUUAUCAAGAUGCCCCAAAGCCGUCUUCUGGGAAAACUGUCACAAAAACCUUACAUAUCUACAAUGACUUGAAGGUUCAUGACAGUGUCUGGGGAUGUCUGGUGCCCAACCUGAUGUGCGCAGUGAACCGUAGUCCCUGAUAGACACCACUGCAGACAUUAAAGGAACUCAGCUGAUUGAAGGAAGCCACCUGUUCCCAGGCCGCCGCCGCUCCCUGUAAUCAAGAAAUAACCACGCUGGGGAGAAAUAUCUCUUUGUUGGUUCUGGUUAAACUGAACCAUUUCUUUUUUGCUUCAUGCUCAAGGAGACCUGCGACACCUAAUUUUAAGACUUUGCUAAGCAGACACCCAUGUAGAGGUACGUAACGAUUUUUCAUUUGAGACCAGUACCCAUGUAGUUAGAAGAAUCUUUUACUUCUCAGGAAAGCAAUUAGUAGUAACAUUAAAUCCAAAGGUCCUUUUUAUUUUUCUUUUUUAAUAACAAGAGUUUUUGCCGUGCUCUUUCUGUUUGAAACUACACUCAGUGCUCUGCAAUUUAUGUUUUAGCUUCCAUAAUGUUAGCGAGAUAUUAAUAUAUGCAUGAAGAGUUGCAGUGAACGUAAUUACAGUGGCAAAGUGAUAAACACAAAGCUAUUCUGCCUGGUAAUAUUAUGUAUUUAACAGGUUUAUUUGUUCAACAGUUUUAACUUUAAUUAUGUUUUGCCAUUUGGGAUUUUUAGACAUGUAGCCAUCAUAGCCCUUCUCUGGCUAUUAGUCUAAGAAGAUUGCA
rnacentral:lncRNA from 1 species